rnacentral:rRNA from 1 species
AGAGUUUGAUCCUGGCUCAGGAUGAACGCUAGCGGCAGGCUUAAUACAUGCAAGUCGUGGGGCAGCAGGGGUGUAGCAAUACACUCGCUGGCGACCGGCAAACGGGUGCGGAACACGUACGCAACUUACCCAAAACUGGGGAAUAGCCCGGGGAAACCCGGAUUAAUACCUCGUAACAUAAUGAAAAGGCAUCUUUUUAUUAUUAUAGCUCCGGCGGUUUUGGAUGGGCGUGCGCCUGAUUAGGUAGUUGGCGGGGUAACGGCCCACCAAGCCUACGAUCAGUAACUGGUGUGAGAGCACGACCAGUCACACGGGCACUGAGACACGGGCCCGACUCCUACGGGAGGCAGCAGUAAGGAAUAUUGGUCAAUGGACGCAAGUCUGAACCAGCCAUGCCGCGUGAAGGAUGAAGGUCCUCUGGAUUGUAAACUUCUUUUAUAUGGGACGAAACCCCCGGAUUCUUCUGGGAUUGACGGUACCAUAGGAAUAAGCACCGGCUAACUCCGUGCCAGCAGCCGCGGUAAUACGGAGGGUGCAAGCGUUAUCCGGAUUCACUGGGUUUAAAGGGUGCGUAGGAGGGCAGGUAAGUCAGUGGUGAAAUCCCCGAGCUUAACUUGGGAACUGCCGUUGAUACUAUCUGUCUUGAAUACCGUGGAGGUGAGCGGAAUAUGUCAUGUAGCGGUGAAAUGCUUAGAUAUGACAUAGAACACCAAUUGCGAAGGCAGCUCGCUACACGAAUAUUGACUCUGAGGCACGAAAGCGUGGGGAUCAAACAGGAUUAGAUACCCUAGUAGUCC